AUUGAACGCUGGCGGCAGGCUUAACACAUGCAAGUCGAGCGGGGAGAUGUAGCUUGCUACAUAUCCUAGCGGCGGACGGGUGAGUAAUGCUUAGGAAUCUGCCUAUUAGCGGGGGACAACAUUCCGAAAGGAAUGCUAAUACCGCAUACGCCCUACGGGGGAAAGCAGGGGAUCUUCGGACCUUGCGCUAAUAGAUGAGCCUAAGUCGGAUUAGCUAGUUGGUGGGGUAAAGGCCUACCAAGGCGACGAUCUGUAGCGGGUCUGAGAGGAUGAUCCGCCACACUGGGACUGAGACACGGCCCAGACUCCUACGGGAGGCAGCAGUGGGGAAUAUUGGACAAUGGGCGCAAGCCUGAUCCAGCCAUGCCGCGUGUGUGAAGAAGGCCUUUUGGUUGUAAAGCACUUUAAGCGAGGAGGAGGCUCCUUUAGUUAAUACCUAAAGAGAGUGGACGUUACUCGCAGAAUAAGCACCGGCUAACUCUGUG
rnacentral:rRNA from 1 species